rnacentral:rRNA from 1 species
GACGAACGCUGGCGGCGUGCUUAACACAUGCAAGUCGAGCGGUAAGGCCCUUUCGGGGGUACACGAGCGGCGAACGGGUGAGUAACACGUGGGUGACCUGCCCUCAGCUCUGGGAUAAGCCCGGGAAACUGGGUCUAAUACCGGAUAUGACUCCAUGACGCAUGUUGUGGGGUGGAAAGCCUUGUGCGGCUGAGGAUGGGCCCGCGGCCUAUCAGCUUGUUGGUGGGGUGAUGGCCACCAAGGCGACGACGGGUAGCCGGUCUGAGAGGGCGACCGGCCACACUGGGACUGAGAUACGGCCCAGACUCCUACGGGAGGCAGCAGUGGGGAAUCUUGCGCAAUGGGCGAAAGCCUGACGCAGCGACGCCGCGUGAGGGAUGACGGCCU